rnacentral:rRNA from 1 species
AGUUAAGUGACUAAGCGUACAAGGUGGAUGCCUUGGCAAUCAGAGGCGACGAAGGACGUGCUAAUCUGCGAAAAGCUUGGAUGAGUCGAUAAGAGGCGUUUAAUCCAAGAUGUCCGAAUGGGGAAACCCAGUAGAUGAAGAAUCUACUAUCACUUACUGAAUCCAUAGGUAAGUGAGGCAAACCGGGAGAACUGAAACAUCUAAGUACCCCGAGGAAAAGAAAUCAACCGAGAUUUCGUUAGUAGCGGCGAGCGAACGCGAAGGAGCCUGUUAGUGAUAAUGACAGAGACAGAGGAACAAGCUGGGAAGCUUGGCGAUACAGGGUGAUAGCCCCGUACUCGAAGUCCAGGUCAUGGUACUAAGCUAACGAUAAGUAGGGCGGGACACGUGAUAUCCUGUUUGAAGAUGGGGGGACCAUCCUCCAAGGCUAAAUACUCCUGAUUGACCGAUAGUGAACCAGUACUGUGAAGGAAAGGCGAAAAGAACCCCGGUGAGGGGAGUGAAAUAGAACCUGAAACCUUGUACGUACAAGCAGUGGGAGCCCUUUAAGGGUGACUGCGUACCUUUUGUAUAAUGGGUCAGCGACUUAUAUUUUGUAGCGAGGUUAACCGAAUAGGGGAGCCGAAGGGAAACCGAGUCUUAACUGGGCGUCUAGUUGCAAGGUAUAGACCCGAAACCCGGUGAUCUAGCCAUGGGCAGGUUGAAGGUUGGGUAACACUAACUGGAGGACCGAACCGACUAAUGUUGAAAAAUUAGCGGAUGACUUGUGGCUGGGGGUGAAAGGCCAAUCAAACCGGGAGAUAGCUGGUUCUCCCCGAAAUCUAUUUAGGUAGAGCCUUGAGCGGACACCUUCGGGGGUAGAGCACUGUUUCGGCUAGGGGUCCAUCCCGGAUUACCAACCCGAUGCAAACUACGAAUACCGAAGAGUGAUACUCAGGAGACACACGGCGGGUGCUAACGUCCGUCGUGGAGAGGGAAACAACCCAGACCGCCAGCUAAGGUCCCAAAGUCUAUAUUAAGUGGGAAACGAAGUGGGAAGGCUUAGACAGCUAGGAUGUUGGCUUAGAAGCAGCCAUCAUUUAAAGAAAGCGUAAUAGCUCACUAGUCGAGUCGGCCUGCGCGGAAGAUGUAACGGGGCUCAAAUAUAGCACCGAAGCUGCGGCAUCAGACGAAAGUCUGUUGGGUAGGGGAGCGUUCUGUAAGCGGAUGAAGGUGGUUCGAGAGGGCUGCUGGACGUAUCAGAAGUGCGAAUGCUGACAUAAGUAACGAUAAAACGGGUGAAAAACCCGUUCGCCGGAAGACCAAGGGUUCCUGUCCAACGUUAAUCGGGGCAGGGUGAGUCGGCCCCUAAGGCGAGGCUGAAAAGCGUAGUCGAUGGGAAACGGGUUAAUAUUCCCGUACUUGGAUAAACUGCGAUGUGGGGACGGAGUAGGUUAGGUUAUCGCACUGUUGGAUAUGUGCGUUUAAGUUUGUAGGUGUGAAGUUUAGGCAAAUCCGGACUUCUUUAACACUGAGAGAUGAUGAGGAGGCUCUACGGAGCUGAAGUAACCGAUACCACACUUCCAGGAAAAGCCACUAAGCUUCAGGUUUAUCUAAACCGUACUGAAAACCGACACAGGUGGUCAGGUAGAGAAUACUCAGGCGCUUGAGAGAACUCGGGUGAAGGAACUAGGCAAAAUAGCACCGUAACUUCGGGAGAAGGUGUUUAUUAAAAACACAGCACUCUGCAAACACGAAAGUGGACGUAUAGGGUGUGAUGCCUGCCCGGUGCUGGAAGGUUAAUUGAUGGUGUAAUCGAAAGAGAAGCUCCUGAUCGAAGCCCCAGUAAACGGCGGCCGUAACUAUAACGGUCCUAAGGUAGCGAAAUUCCUUGUCGGGUAAGUUCCGACCUGCACGAAUGGCAUAAUGAUGGCCAGGCUGUCUCCACCCGAGACUCAGUGAAAUUGAAAUCGCCGUGAAGAUGCGGUGUACCCGCGGCUAGACGGAAAGACCCCGUGAACCUUUACUAUAGCUUGACACUGAACAUUGAAUUUUGAUGUGUAGGAUAGGUGGGAGGUGGUCUCGGACAGUGUCUGGUGGGUAGUUUGACUGGGGCGGUCUCCUCCCAAAGAGUAACGGAGGAGCACGAAGGUUUGCUAAUGACGGUCGGACAUCGUCAGGUUAGUGCAAUGGUAUAAGCAAGCUUAACUGCGAGACAGACAAGUCGAGCAGGUACGAAAGUAGGUCAUAGUGAUCCGGUGGUUCUGAAUGGAAGGGCCAUCGCUCAACGGAUAAAAGGUACUCCGGGGAUAACAGGCUGAUACCGCCCAAGAGUUCAUAUCGACGGCGGUGUUUGGCACCUCGAUGUCGGCUCAUCACAUCCUGGGGCUGAAGUAGGUCCCAAGGGUAUGGCUGUUCGCCAUUUAAAGUGGUACGCGAGCUGGGUUUAGAACGUCGUGAGACAGUUCGGUCCCUAUCUGCCGUGGGCGUUGGAGAAUUGGUUGGGGCUGCUCCUAGUACGAGAGGACCGGAGUGGACGCACCACUGGUGUUCCGGUUGUGUCGCCAGACGCAUUGCCGGGUAGCUAAGUGCGGAAGAGAUAAGUGCUGAAAGCAUCUAAGCACGAAACUUGCCGUCUUUAAGACAGUAAGGGUUGUUUAAGACUAAGACGUAGAUAGGUCUGGUGUGUAAGCGGUGCGAGCCGUUGAGCUAACAGAUACUAAUUGCCCGAGAGGCUUAACUAU